rnacentral:rRNA from 1 species
CCUACGGGAGGCAGCAGUGAGGAAUAUUGGUCAAUGGACGCAAGUCUGAACCAGCCAUGCCGCGUGCAGGAAGACGGCUCUAUGAGUUGUAAACUGCUUUUGUACGAGGGUAAACUCAGAUACGUGUAUCUGUCUGAAAGUACCGUACGAAUAAGGAUCGGCUAACUCCGUGCCAGCAGCCGCGGUAAUACGGAGGAUUCAAGCGUUAUCCGGAUUUAUUGGGUUUAAAGGGUGCGUAGGCGGUCGGAUAAGUUAGAGGUGAAAUCCCGAGGCUCAACUUCGGAAUUGCCUCUGAUACUGUUAGGCUAGAGAGUAGUUGCGGUAGGCGGAAUGUAUGGUGUAGCGGUGAAAUGCUUAGAGAUCAUACAGAACACCGAUUGCGAAGGCAGCUUACCAAGCUACAUCUGACGUUGAGGCACGAAAGCGUGGGGAGCAAACAGGAUUAGAUACCCCGGUAGUC